GCGUCAAUGGCUCAACGGUCUGGAGCACGGGUUCCUGGAUAGAGUGAGACCUAGGUUCAAGCCCCGCUUGACACA